AAAGCAUAAAAGUAGAGUUCGCUCACUUCAAAGUGGGAUGUGAAGCUCAGCAUCCUGCUUUAAACGAUUUUUUUAUUUUUUUGACGGGGCGUGGUAGCUCACGCCUGCAAUCCCAACGCUUGGGAGGCUUAGGAUCGCUUGACCCCAGGAGUUUGAGUCCAGCCCGGGCAACAUAGUUGGUUUUUUUUUUUUUUCUCCUGUCUCAAAAAAAAGGCAUUGCAGAGAUUGAAAACCGUUUCCCACCUUCUCCCCUGCAGUGUUUAGGAAGAGACAAUCCGCCCCCGAUUCAGCGCUUCCCAGCCCGCAGCAACUGCGCAGCGGGGGGAACCCAGGGCUCCGCGGCACCCGCAGGCUUUAGUUACUGCUCCGAGGCCCUCGGACCAAAGAGAGGCUGCGAGGAGGACGCGGCUCGUUUAGCUCGCUGCGAACCUCAAGAUAACCCUUGGUUUCCAUGCACAUCCCCCCAACAUUGCAUGUGCUUUCAUUCCUACGGUGCUGGGGUUACUUUCAUUUAUUGCUUUUGUUGACCAAAAAGAAAAAAACAAUCCUGAGCGUGCACAGGGGGCGCAACGGGGGACCGGC
rnacentral:lncRNA from 10 species